UACAGAGGGGGCAAGCGUUGUUCGGAAUUACUGGGCGUAAAGGGCGCGUAGGCGGCCUGCUAAGUCACACGUGAAAUCCCCAGGCUUAACCUGGGAACUGCGUGUGAUACUGGAUGGCUUGAAUUCGGGAGAGGGAUGCAGAAUUCCAGGUGUAGCGGUGAAAUGCGUAGAUAUCUGGAGGAAUACCGGUGGCGAAGGCGGCAUCCUGGACCGACAUUGACGCUGAGGCGCGAAAGCGUGGGGAGCAAACAGG
rnacentral:rRNA from 1 species